AGUAUUGUGAAAGAAUAAAUAAUUAUUAUAAAAAGAAAUUUUUAUUUAUUGUACCUUUUGUAUCAGGGUUUAUUAAAAAAAAAAAGUAUUUUUAAAUCUCUAAUUUAAAAGAGCUAAAUUAAAGUUAAUUUUAUUGUUAAAUAAAUAUUUAAAAUUUUAAUUUUGUAAUAAAAUGUUAUUCGUUUUUAAAUAUAUCUAGUUUUUUAAGAAAAAAAUUUAAUUUGAUAAUUAUAAAAUAUUAUUUUGUUUUAAAAAUUUAGUUUUUUUAAUUAUUUAUUUUAUUAGGGAUAAGCUUAAUUUAUAGUUUAUAAUUUAUUGAUAAUUUAAUAAGAUAUAGAAUUAGAAUUUUUCAUUUAUAAAAAUAUGUUGUAAUUAAUUUUUUAUUUAUUUUAUUUAUAUAAAAUUUAACUUAUUAUUAAAAUAUUGAUUAAAAUUUUAAAAAUUAAGAAAAUAUGAUUAAAUUAGUAUAAUAAAUUUUAAAUUUGUGUAUAGUUAAAUUGAAGUUAAGGAAUUCGGCAAAUAUAGAUUUUACCUGUUUAUUAAAAACAUGGCUUUUUGAAAAUAAUUUAAAGUUAGGCCUGCCCAAUGAAAAUUUAAUGGCUGCAGUAUUUUGACUGUACAAAGGUAGCAUAAUCAUUAGUUUUUUAAUUGAGAACUGGAAUGAAAGGUUUGAUAAAAAUUUUACUGUCUUAAUUUUAUUA
rnacentral:rRNA from 1 species